rnacentral:rRNA from 1 species
AGAGUUUGAUCCUGGCUCAGAUUGAACGCUGGCGGCAUGCUUUACACAUGCAAGUCGAACGGUAACAGGGGAGCUUGCUCCCGCUGACGAGUGGCGAACGGGUGAGUAAUGCAUCGGAACGUACCGAGUAAUGGGGGAUAACUAUCCGAAAGGAUGGCUAAUACCGCAUACGAUCUUAGGAUGAAAGUGGGGGACCUUCGGGCCUCACGUUAUUCGAGCGGCCGAUGCCUGAUUAGCUAGUUGGUAGGGUAAAAGCCUACCAAGGCUACGAUCAGUGGCGGGUCUGAGAGGAUGAUCCGCCACACUGGGACUGAGACACGGCCCAGACUCCUACGGGAGGCAGCAGUGGGGAAUUUUGGACAAUGGGGGCAACCCUGAUCCAGCCAUGCCGCGUGUCUGAAGAAGGCCUUCGGGUUGUAAAGGACUUUUGUUAGGGAGGAAAAUUUAUCCAUUAAUACUGGGUAAAGCUGACAGUACCUAAAGAAUAAGCACCGGCUAACUACGUGCCAGCAGCCGCGGUAAUACGUAGGGUGCAAGCGUUAAUCGGAAUUACUGGGCGUAAAGCGAGCGCA